GGCCCCGCUCCUUGUAAAGUCUCGCAACAGGAAGUCGGCCUGGCCGAGCGGGCUCUUGCGCAGACCUGAUUGGCAGGAUGGUGGGCGGGGCUUUCUCUUCGGCGGAGCCAGUCAGGAGUCGGCCUCGGGACAAGGCCCACAGACCCAGACCACGUGUACCGCUGCUGAGUGGUGAGAGCUACCUGAGCCUCCUAACACAGUGUGGGCGCUCUGUGAAAGAAUGCACCCCGUGAAAAUAGAACUGCCACCUGGCUGACACUGCUUGGGAUGGAGCCUGGCCCCCUCCUUGAAUUACAAGGACCACCCACUUAGGAAGACAGAGCCACCUUCAUUCAUGCUAAAAGAAAGAAGAAAUAAUCAUCCCUUCAAUGAGAUAAUGUACUUUUGCCUUCACAGAAUUCCUACCCCCUAGUGUGUUGUAUGAUAUUUUGUUUGUGUUCUGACAAAUAAAGCUUGCCUGGAGAUCAGAGGGCAGAGCUAGCUACUAGUUAACCACAGUGGCCAGGCAGU